rnacentral:rRNA from 1 species
GGCUCAGGACGAACGCUGGCGGCGUGCUUAACACAUGCAAGUCGAACGAUGAACCACUUCGGUGGGGAUUAGUGGCGAACGGGUGAGUAACACGUGGGCAAUCUGCCCUUCACUCUGGGACAAGCCCUGGAAACGGGGUCUAAUACCGGAUAUCACUCCUGCAGGCAUCUGCGGGGGUCGAAAGCUCCGGCGGUGAAGGAUGAGCCCGCGGCCUAUCAGCUUGUUGGUGAGGUAAUGGCUCACCAAGGCGACGACGGGUAGCCGGCCUGAGAGGGCGACCGGCCACACUGGGACUGAGACACGGCCCAGACUCCUACGGGAGGCAGCAGUGGGGAAUAUUGCACAAUGGGCGAAAGCCUGAUGCAGCGACGCCGCGUGAGGGAUGACGGCCUUCGGGUUGUAAACCUCUUUCAGCAGGGAAGAAGCGAAAGUGACGGUACCUGCAGAAGAAGCGCCGGCUAACUACGUGCCAGCAGCCGCGGUAAUACGUAGGGCGCAAGCGUUGUCCGGAAUUAUUGGGCGUAAAGAGCUCGUAGGCGGCUUGUCACGUCGGGUGUGAAAGCCCGGGGCUUAACCCCGGGUCUGCAUUCGAUACGGGCAGGCUAGAGUGUGGUAGGGGAGAUCGGAAUUCCUGGUGUAGCGGUGAAAUGCGCAGAUAUCAGGAGGAACACCGGUGGCGAAGGCGGAUCUCUGGGCCAUUACUGACGCUGAGGAGCGAAA